rnacentral:lncRNA from 13 species
AAAACAGAGAAGCACAAACAAAAUAAAAACUGUGAAUAAGCACUGGUAAGACUUUGGUCUAUUUUCUUCCUAUCUUUUUUUCUCUGUGGAGAUAUAGAUAUAUAUUCACAGAAUUAUGGAUUUUAUUUUUACCUAAUUUGUAUUUGUAAUUCAGAGAAAGAAUGAGAUGAGAAUCUGGUAGCUUAUCUACUUGGGAAACCACUAAGACAACCAUUGAGAAUAAAUUGUAUCCUGAUGUUGGGUGCUAUGAAUAGGUAAAAAAUGGACAAAUCAAAGAUUACCAAAAAAUCAGAGGGUCUGGAUGCUUCUGUGUAAUGAAUGAGAGAAAAAUUGUCAUCCACUUCAGCCUCUUAGUUACUUUAAAUUAUUUUAUUAUUUAAAAAUCAAGUAAAUGAAGUGAGCACUAAGUUUAAAAACAUAAGAAAAUAUCUUAAGACAUGCUUGAUAGCAUUAAACACAAACUCUAGCCUGAGGGUAAAGUAAGAGUUAUAUAAAAAUAGAGAGGGAUCCUCAUCAAAAUACAUGGUGGGAGAGUAUAGUCAGACUUCACGGAAGCUAGAGGGAUAAAAAGUGCCUCGAAUGUCCACCUUCAUCUCCCCAGGGUUACAUGGCUCUUGGUCCAUGCUUCUCUCCACACGUGUCUUUCUUUCUAGCAGCUUCCACAGCUUAGGCUGGUAUCCUUCUUUCUUUUGAUUCCAUCUUGCAUGGGGCUUUUCUAGUGACAAUAUUGGUCCACAUAUACUCUCACCUUGCUUACUGGCUCCCUACAAUUAACAUCACAGUCUUUGGGUUUCUUAACUGUGCUUCGAGUGAGUAAGACUCUAAUGGUGAAUCCUACCUUUCAGAAGACCUUUGCCUGCAUCAGCCAAAUAUCUGUGACUAGGAAAGCAGACAGAGUUACAUGGACAAGGGACACUAUUGGCAAGGAUAAUGGCAAUAGAAACCCUAAGGAAAUAAGAAGGAAAAACAUGCCCUCUGAUUGUUGCCUCAGAGCGGGCAAGCCAAAAGGUGAUGGUCAGCAGAUGGAGGAGGAAAUGUUUGCAGAGGAAUUGGAACUGAGGAAGAAUUGCCCCAUCCUCCACAGUCACUAAAUACAGAACACAGGCAAGGGAAAAAAUGGUCCUCACCGAAUAAAUGUUAAAAGGAGAAUGGGAGCA